GAAGAGAAGAUUUUCUAACUGAAUCAGAACGAGAAAUCAUUUGUGUGACUCUAAAAAGAGACCCACAGCAUGGUUUUGGCUUUGUCAUUAUUGGAAGCGAAAAUGUGGGUAAAUUGGACCUUGGGAUCUUUAUUGCUUCCAUUAUACCUGGGGGACCUGCCGAGAGGGCAAAAAAGAUCAAACCAGGAGGGAGAAUAAUCUCCUUGAAUAAUAUCAGUUU
rnacentral:lncRNA from 1 species